rnacentral:rRNA from 1 species
GACGAACGCUGGCGGCGUGCCUAAUACAUGCAAGUCGAACGCUGAAGGAGGAGCUUGCUUCUCUGGAUGAGUUGCGAACGGGUGAGUAACGCGUAGGUAACCUGCCUGGUAGCGGGGGAUAACUAUUGGAAACGAUAGCUAAUACCGCAUAAUAGUAGAUGUCGCAUGACAUUUGCUUAAAAGGUGCAAUUGCAUCACUACCAGAUGGACCUGCGUUGUAUUAGCUAGUUGGUGAGGUAACGGCUCACCAAGGCAACGAUACAUAGCCGACCUGAGAGGGUGAUCGGCCACACUGGGACUGAGACACGGCCCAGACUCCUACGGGAGGCAGCAGUAGGGAAUCUUCGGCAAUGGACGGAAGUCUGACCGAGCAACGCCGCGGGAGUGAAGAAGGGUUUCGGACCGUAAAGCUCUGUUGUAAGAGAAGAACGAGUGUGAGAGUGGAAAGUUCACACUGUGACGGUAGCUUACCAGAAAGGGACGGCUAACUACGUG